rnacentral:rRNA from 1 species
GAUGAACGCUGGCGGCGUGCCUAAUACAUGCAAGUCGAGCGAACAGACGAGGAGCUUGCUCCUCUGACGUGAGCGGCGGACGGGUGAGUAACACGUGGAUAACCUACCUAUAAGACUGGGAUAACUUCGGGAAACCGGGUCUAAUACCGGAUAAUAUAUUGAACGGCAUGGUUCAAUAGUGAAAGACGGUUUUGCUGUCACUUAUAGAUGGAUCCGCGCCGCAUUAGCUAGUUGGUAAGGUAACGGCUUACCAAGGCAACGAUGCGUAGCCGACCUGAGAGGGUGAUCGGCCACACUGGAACUGAGACACGGUCCAGACUCCUACGGGAGGCAGCAGUAGGGAAUCUUCCGCAAUGGGCGAAAGCCUGACGGAGCCACGCCGCGUGAGUGAUGAAGGUCUUCGGAUCGUAAAACUCUGUUAUUAGGGAAGAACAAAUGUGUAAGUAACUCUGCACGUCUUGACGGUACCUAAUCAGAAAGCCCCGGCUAACUACGUG